rnacentral:miRNA from 1 species
UCGCUUCUCCUCAGAGCUCCGC